rnacentral:rRNA from 1 species
ACUACGGGUGGCUGCAGUGGGGAAUAUUGCACAAUGGGCGCAAGCCUGAUGCAGCCAUGCCGCGUGUGUGAAGAAGGCCUUCGGGUUGUAAAGCACUUUCAGCGGGGAGGAAGGCGGUGAGGUUAAUAACCUCAUCGAUUGACGUUACCCGCAGAAGAAGCACCGGCUAACUCCGUGCCAGCAGCCGCGGUAAUACGGAGGGUGCAAGCGUUAAUCGGAAUUACUGGGCGUAAAGCGCACGCAGGCGGUCUGUCAAGUCGGAUGUGAAAUCCCCGGGCUCAACCUGGGAACUGCAUUCGAAACUGGCAGGCUAGAGUCUUGUAGAGGGGGGUAGAAUUCCAGGUGUAGCGGUGGAAUGCGUAGAGAUCUGGAGGAAUACCGGUGGCGAAGGCGGCCCCCUGGACAAAGACUGACGCUCAGGUGCGAAAGCGUGGGGAGCAAACAGGAUUAGAUACCCUUGUAGUC